CUGCACUGAUGCUCAGAGUGAAGUCAAGGCCAUUCCCUGCUCCACUUCCACUCAGUCUGGAGGAGAUUCCUGAAAAUCUGUCUGAUGUUAAGUAGAUCAGAGCUUUGGGAGCUUCUCCAGCUUUCUGAUGGUACCAGGCCAGCAGACCCUGAGGAGAGAAGAAACUCUGAACAUUAGAUGGUGAGGUGAAACUCGGCUACACUCUGAAUGAUUUUCACGUGACAGAAAAAUGAUUUUCCUCACCCUGAGUGAAGCAGAGGAGAGUCCAGAUGAGGACGCAGAGCACAGUCAUGUUUUUGAUGAGGAGGAUUUCUGUGGCGUCUGUUGUGAUGAAGGACAGCUGUCAGUCAUGCAGUGUUCAACUGUCAGGACUAUAAACUCUCCCAGAGCACUGGAGCAUGGUGCUGCUGAUGCAAAGCAGCUCACUGUGGAAAUACUCAGACUGACUCCAAGUGGGACUCGAUUACUCUCGUGGAUCUAUCAGAUAGCACAGGAUUCAUCAGCAGUGUUUUCUGCAUUUUGCAUCUAUUUUCUUUGUUUUUUACAUAGAGAAAGUAGAUAAUUUGGCAUAUGUACCGCAAUAACAUAACAUCACUUUCCUGUGAGCUGAACUCAGUCACAUCACAUUUUUGUUUAGCUCCUUUACUGAACCUGUCCUCACAUGUUCCAUUUUUAAAUCAGGAACAAUCUGAAGGAUUAAAGUAAAUGUACUCUUUAAAUCUGCUGCAGAAUUAAAAGGAUUCAGGACAGUGUGACUGGAGAUCAGUUCUUAGUGUUUCUGACAAAUCUGUGAAUUUUAAAAAUGUCCCACUUUGUGUUUGACCUCAGUUUGAAUUGAAACUGUCUGAGAAUAUUUAUCUUGUUUAAAUCUGGCUUAUGUUGAAAUAUUCUCACUGGUUAGAUUUAGCAGAUAAUGUCUUUAUCAGUGAAAUGAUCAGCUGGUGAUAGUUUAACAGUAACUAUGAUUGUAGAAAUGCACCAAAUGAAAUGAUUAAAAUGUUGAAUCUAAAUAACUGAA